AGCCAGAAAGGAGGAGCUGCUGUUAAAGGCCAUUGUGGCCACAUUCCUACAGCGCUGGGCCAGCAGUACCUGGUGGAGCUGCGUCAGGAUGCCUCUUGUUCUGCUUUCUAAGCUGUCGGCCUGCCUUGCUGGAAGGGGGUCUCGGAUGCUUGUAUGCCGCUUCCCGCUUCAGAAGGUGGCUUACUGUAGUGAUGAUGAAACAGCUGCAUUGACGUGUUGUAAUCGUGCCAGUUGCAAUCUAUAAAAACUGGAGAUGUUUCUCUCUCUGACAUGUUGGAUUCAUCUGGAUGUUGAAGGCAAAGCCACUCUCUCUUCCAGGCCAGGAUGCCAGAUCAGCUACUUUACCUUGGAUCCAGAUGCGAAAAGGGAGGAGGAAACGGAUCUUGCCUUUGAAGCCCUCCUGUUUCCGGGAGUCUUGCCUUCUUGGGACAGUUCCUGAGUUUGAAUCCCACGUGGUGGAGUCAAACCACUACAGUGCUCUGACGUGAGAUGGCGGUUUCAAGGGAGUGAUGGGCAUGUCCCUUUUUAACAGUGCCUCCUUGCAAGGGAGAGUUUCGGACCCAUCGAAGAGAAGCUUGGAAACCGGUGGAAAGCUCAGCAACCAAACAGAGUUCAGAGCUGCUUAAAAGCAAGCCCAGCUUGCCCCAUCUUUCCACUGAUCCUCUGGGAGAGAAUCUGCUGCUGGUCCCACGAGGAGGAGAUGCCUGCCCGUGCCCAACAAGAUGCUGCCAUAGUGUGCUUAGGGCGCUUUCCAGUUUUGGAGCUCCUACCAUUUGACGCAUCUGCACAACCAACUGGGUGUUGCAUUGAAUGCACCGGGGGAUUCUCUAAUGCUGCUGUACGAGGAUCAGCUCAGGGACCUGCCCACCUUAGUCGCUGGCUGACUAAUUCCGGGCAGGGUGCACAGUCUGAAAUCGCUUAAAAGAGGAAGUAUCUUGCCGUCAGACAUCAGCUUCUUUUAAUAAAUAUGCA